GGGGUGUCUGUGUGUGACUCUAGACUGAGGGUGGGGUGACACUGGGGUGAUGGGGUGUCUGUGUGUGACUCUAGACUGAGGGUGGGGUGACACUGGGGUGAUGGGGUGUCUAUGUGUGACUCUAGACUGAGGGUGGGGUGACACUGGGGUGAUGGGGUGUCUGUGUGACUCUAGACUGAGGGUGGGGUGACACUGGGGUGACGGGGUGUCUGUGUGUGAUUACAGAGCCCAAGGGUGGUUUUCCCGUUGGGAUCAUCGUUGUAGUUGGAGUCCUGGUUCUCAUCGCUGUCGUUGGGAUUGUAAUCUGGAGGAAGAGACAGACAGGAUAUGGCAAAGCUUCAACUUCUUACAGCGACUUCAACUCCUCCAACAACCCCCCAGCUAAAGCAUGAAGAUCCAUCUGAGGAGAGACAUCAUCUUCUGAGACUGCACAAGGAGAUGGAGCCAUACUGUAUGUCUAACACACAUAAUCACUCAGUGAAAUACUUCACUUACAUUAUACAAGUCGCAGCAGCAGACAACCUGUCUCAGGAGCCCGGCCCUUCACUCCUCAUAGAUACUGUACCAGGAGAUUUUUUUAAAAAUUGGCAUUGAUCUGGAAACCAGUAAUUGAACUGGUUGGUUUCGAACUUUGUGGGUCUGUUUUCUUGUCUAUCGCUAGUUCUAGAAAAAUAUUUUGUGUGUGUGUGUCUCUUUUUCUGACUUAUGUCAAUGGAUUGACUCCUUAAAAUAACUUCCUGGAUUUAGGGAGUCCAAGACACUGUGAAAUUAUGCUAUAUGAUCAUUAGUCUGUAAUACUUCUCUAUUUCUAUGAUUAAUGGAUUUAACAGGCUGUUACAUUGUAUAGAUUGUUACAGUGUAUAGAUUAUGUUUUGUGAUAUAACGCUGGCUUCUGUUAUUCAGGGUUCGGGAGUUUAUAGGGUAUUGAUUUUUUUCAUGGUUGAUCCACUGAGGUGGGUAUUUAUUGAAUCUCAAUAAAUAAAUGAUGAGUUGCAGGG
ensembl:lincRNA